CACCUCCUAUUGCUUACCACAGCUUGUGUUUUUUUUUUUUUUUGCACAGACUGUAUAGAAAAAGGAGGCAGAGAAACCUUCCUCUUAUACACCUCAGCCAGGGGCCUGCCUGUGCCCUAGCUGUAUUGUGAAAGGGGAGACAGUA
ensembl:snoRNA